GACGAACGCUGGCGGCGUGCUUAACACAUGCAAGUCGAACGGAAAGGCCCUGCUUUUGUUGGGUUCUCGAGUGGCGAACGUGUUAGUAACACGUUAGUAACCUGCCCUUGACUUUGUGAUAACUUCAGGAAACUGGUGCUAAUACCGGAUAUGAGCUCCUGCUGCAUGGUGGGGGUUGGAUAUUUUUGGCGUUUGGGGAUGGACUCGCGGCUUAUCAGCUUGUUGGUGGGGUAGUUGCUUACCAAGGCUUUGACGGGUAGCCGGCCUGAGAGGGUGACCGGCAACAUGGGGACUGAGAUACGGCCCAGAAUCCUACGGGAGGCAGCAGUGGGGAAUAUUGCACAAUGGGCGGAAGCCUGAUGCAGCAACGCCGCGUGCGGGAUGACGGCCUUCGGGUUGUAAACCGCUUUCGCCUGUGACGAAGCGUGAGUGACGGUAAUGGGUAAAGAAGCACCGGCUAACUACGUG
rnacentral:rRNA from 1 species